rnacentral:rRNA from 1 species
AUUGAACGCCGGCGGCAGGCCUAACACAUGCAAGUCGAGCGGAUGAAGGGAGCUUGCUCCUGGAUUCAGCGGCGGACGGGUGAGUAAUGCCUAGGAAUCUGCCUGGUAGUGGGGGAUAACGUCCGGAAACGGGCGCUAAUACCGCAUACGUCCUGAGGGAGAAAGUGGGGGAUCUUCGGACCUCACGCUAUCAGAUGAGCCUAGGUCGGAUUAGCUAGUUGGUGGGGUAAAGGCCUACCAAGGCGACGAUCCGUAGCUGGUCUGAGAGGAUGAUCAGUCACACUGGAACUGAGACACGGUCCAGACUCCUACGGGAGGCAGCAGUGGGGAAUAUUGGACAAUGGGCGAAAGCCUGAUCCAGCCAUGCCGCGUGUGUGAAGAAGGUCUUCGGAUUGUAAAGCACUUUAAGUUGGGAGGAAGGGCAGUAAGUUAAUACCUUGCUGUUUUGACGUUACCAACAGAAUAAGCACCGGCUAACUUCGUG